UACAGAGACUGCAAGCGUUAUUCGGAUUCACUGGGCGUAAAGGGUGCGCAGGCGGCCGUGUGUGUGAGGCGUGAAAGCCCGGGGCUUAACCCCGGAAUUGCACCUCAAACUACAUGGCUAGAGCAUUGGAGAGGGUAGCGGAAUUCACGGUGUAGCAGUGAAAUGCGUAGAUAUCGAGAGGAACACCGGUGGCGAAGGCGGCCUUCUGGACAGUGACUGACGCUGAGACACGAAAGCGUGGGGAGCAAACAGG
rnacentral:rRNA from 1 species